CAGAAGUGCGAGAAGUGGUGAAAGACACAAAGAUUAAUUCUGGCAUAAAGUUCUUAGCAUUAUAUAAUUGAAUCAAGAGAUUGGAGUAAUCUGCCUGUGUGGAAUAUCAUGGAAUUACAACAUGAGGUAUAUUUUUUUCCUCAUGAAAUAGAAUAACUGCAAUGACUUCCACCACAUCUGGUUGAGGAGCCUACAUUAAAACCUGGAUGUUGUACAAUCAUGUUACAUAAUUCAUGUGGGUCUCCACAUUCCAGGUUUAUAUCUGGUUUCUACUACAUAUAGUUGACACAGUAUGUACAACUAUUCUUUUCAGCAUUGGCUCCUUGCUGCCAUUCAAAAACCACAAAGACAGAUUCUUCUGCAAUUCAGAAAAGGCAGAUUGGCAACUUUUCAGUAUUUCAGAGGACUUCUGUCACCCGUUGUCACAUAGAACAAGAUGGUUUUCUGCUUCACUGGAACAGUGGAAGACAAUAUUCCCCUAGAAGCUGAAAGGCCUUGAAGAUAAUUGCUGCAAGGAUGGGCUGAAUGCCUUGAACAGCAUAGCAUAAGCAGUAGCCCAAAGACAGGAAUGGAGUAAAGAUGUAUUUGCACAACAAGAAAAUUUCCUUUGUGUAACCAAAGCAACAUCUGCAGCUACUCAGAUUCUCAGAAUCCUUUUCACAGGCUGCUUAUGGGCUCUGCUGCCAUUCAUCCAUCCAUAAGGCAGAAGAUUUUGAUUUUCUACCUCAUCUGCUCAUAGGUGUGUACAUUCUUAGGAGGUGUGUUUAGCCGUCAACACAGAAAAGCGACAACAGGACCCUCUCUCUGAAAGUGCUUAUUAUCCUUCUGAGUUACCAGAAGCCUGAGCAAAAAAGGGGGGAAAAAAAGGGUAAAACCAGAUAAAAGCAACUGAAGAAAAAAAUUACAUGUAUAUGGUCCAUAUACUUUGCAAGUGUUCUUCCCUGUUGCACUGAUGUCUCCUUUUUCUCUGUACUCUAAGAGAAAUAGUUGGAUUUACUGGCAUCCAGGUAAACUGGAUUUUUAAAGAAAGCCAUCACAUGCAGGAUGUUUUUGUAGAGCUAUAAAAUAGUUACUGCUAUGUCUGUAUUUUUUUGUAU